rnacentral:tRNA from 1 species
GCCUGGGUGGCUCAGUCGGUUAAGCAUCUGACUUUGGCUCAGGUCGUGAUCUCAGCAGUUUGUGAGUUUGAACCCCACUCAGGCU